GCCCGUAGUGGGUCUUCAAUUACUAGAAAUCUGGUGAGGUAUAAAGUUAAGCAGGGUUGGGCCUGGUUGGUACUUGGAUGGGAGACCACCUAGGAAGACCAGGUGCUGCAGGUG
rnacentral:rRNA from 1 species